UUCCUGGUGGUCCAGUAGUUGAGACUCUGUGCUUCCAAUGCAGAAGGUGUGGGUUUGAUCCCUGCUCAGGGAA
rnacentral:tRNA from 1 species